GGGCCCGCACAAGCGGUGGAGCAUGUGGUUUAAUUCGAUGCAACGCGAAGAACCUUACCUACCCUUGACAUACAGUGAAUCAAUUAGAGAUAGUUGAGUGCCUUUAGGAACACUGAUACAGGUGCUGCAUGGCUGUCGUCAGCUCGUGUCGUGAGAUGUUGGGUUAAGUCCCGUAACGAGCGCAACCCUUAUUCUUAGUUACCAGCACGUAAUGGUGGGGGCUCUAAGGAGACUGCCGGUGACAAACCGGAGGAAGGCGGGGACGACGUCAAGUCAUCAUGGCCCUUACGGGUAGGGCUACACACGUGCUACAAUGGCCGGUACAGAGGGCGGCGAAGGGGUGACCUGGAGCAAAUCCUUUAAAGCUGGUCGUAGUCCGGAUUGGAGUCUGCAACUCGACUCCAUGAAGUCGGAAUCGCUAGUAA
rnacentral:rRNA from 1 species